rnacentral:rRNA from 1 species
UACGGGGGGGGCAAGCGUUGUUCGGAAUUACUGGGCGUAAAGGGCUCGUAGGCGGCCAACUAAGUCAUACGUGAAAUCCCUCAGCUUAACUGGGGAACUGCGUGUGAUACUGGAUGGCUUGGAUUUGGGAGAGGGAUGCGGAAUUCCCGGUGUAGUGGUGGAAUGCGUAGAUAUCGGGAGGAACACCAGUGGCGAAGGCGGUUGCCUGGAGCUUUGCUGACGCUGAGGCGCGAAAGCGUGGGGAGCGAUCCGG